CUACAUUGCUGCUUUGAGCAGUUGUUCAGGAGAAUCCAAUGGUGAAGAGAUCAUUGCCAUUGUCUAAAUAUAGGCUUGUGCUUUUCUGCUUCUCUGCUUGUAACGUCGUGGCUGUCAUCCUGUCUUUUUACAGGCUGUCCAGUGAACCAUGCUUCUACCAUUCUCUGCUUCCACCGUUGGCUUCUGAACCCAAUUGCAGAUGUGUCUCACUGUUCUCCUUGACUACACCAGCCAGGAACAUAGGUAUGAAAUAG
rnacentral:lncRNA from 1 species